CCCAGACAGGCAGGCUCGCAGCUGACUGAGGGAGACUCGCAGAGGGACAGAAAGACGAGGGACAGGAGCACACAAGCCUCCCCCCACGACUGCAGCAGGUUUCCUCUCUUCCUCCCCCCGUAAGGGAUUCGGUGGCUCCGGCUCUCCCUGCUGCCGCCUUCCUCCGCGCAAACGAGAUGUCAGCUAAACGUGAUGUUGUAAAAUCCAUGUGAGGACGAAAGGCAGAUGCAAUGAUUUGAAAGGUCUCUGUCUUCAGAGGAACAAUAGAACAGUUUUGCCUGCUGGAAGAAUGCAGUGAAACUGCCAAUAUUUCUAGCUGGAAUUAUAAAUUUAAUAUUCAACUUUAGUGUUACUAAUUUCUUACUAAAUAGUACCUCAAAGUAGAAGAAAAAUGUAUGGAAGUGCAAGAACAAUCAGCAACUUAGAAGGAAGUCCCUCCAGGUCUCCUCGUUUGCCAAGAUCUCCUCGCCUGGGCCAUAGGCGAACAAAUAGUGGAGGAGGAGGGGGAACAGGUAAGACGUUAUCAAUGGAAAACAUCCAGUCCCUUAAUGCAGCCUAUGCAACAUCUGGACCAAUGUAUCUGAGUGACCAUGAAGGUGUAGCUUCUACUACUUUCCCAAAGGGCACAAUGACUCUUGGAAGGGCUACAAAUCGAGCUGUGUAUGGUGGUCGAGUCACAGCUAUGGGAAGCAGUCCUAAUAUUGCUUCAGCUGGACUUUCGCACACAGAUGUCCUUUCUUAUACUGAUCAGCAUGGAGGUCUGACCACAUCUUCACACCAUCAUCACCAUCAGGUUCCUUCUAUGCUGAGACAGGUUAGAGAUAGCACCAUGUUAGACCUGCAGGCUCAGCUUAAGGACCUACAGAGGGAGAAUGAUCUUCUCAGAAAAGAACUAGACAUUAAGGACAGCAAACUGGGAUCCUCCAUGAAUAGCAUCAAAACUUUCUGGAGUCCUGAGCUAAAGAAAGAAAGAGUGUUGAGGAAAGAAGAAGCAGCCAGAAUGUCAGUUCUUAAAGAACAAAUGAGAGUUUCCCAUGAAGAAAAUCAGUUUUUGGAUGCCAGGAGAACAAAGCAUCUGCAAAUGACAAUCCAGGCACUUCAAGAUGAGCUUAGAACCCAGAGAGACCUUAACCAUCUUCUCCAGCAAGAAAGUGGAAACCGAGGGGCUGAGCAUUUUACCAUUGAGCUCACAGAGGAGAAUUUUCGAAGACUUCAAGCAGAACAUGAUAGACAAGCUAAAGAGCUCUUCCUGUUGAGAAAAACGUUAGAAGAAAUGGAGCUUAGGAUUGAAACACAAAAGCAAACACUAAAUGCCAGAGAUGAAUCAAUAAAGAAGCUUCUGGAAAUGUUGCAAAGUAAAGGUUUGCCAUCUAAAGGAAUGGAAGAUGACAAUGAGAGAACUCGAAGGAUGGCAGAAGCUGAAUCUCAGGUUAAUCAUUUAGAAGUGAUUUUAGAUCAGAAGGAGAAGGAAAACAUGCAUCUUAGAGAGGAAUUACAUAGAAGAACUCAACUUCAGCCCGAGCCAGCAAAGACGAAGGCUCUUCAAACAGUUAUUGAAAUGAAGGAUACAAAAAUAGCUUCACUUGAGCGCAAUAUAAGAGAUCUAGAAGAUGAAAUACAGAUGUUAAAGACAAAUGGAGUUCUGAAUACAGAGGACCGAGAAGAAGAAAUCAAACAAAUAGAAGUUUACAAGAGUCACUCAAAGUUCAUGAAAAAUAAGAUUGACCAACUGAAGCAAGAACUCUCAAAGAAAGAAUCAGAACUUCUUGCCUUACAAACUAAGCUUGAAACCCUUAGCAAUCAGAAUUCAGAUUGCAAGCAACACAUUGAAGUGCUUAAAGAGUCACUUACUGCCAAAGAACAGAGAGCUGCCAUACUUCAGACAGAGGUUGAUGCCUUGCGGUUACGAUUGGAAGAAAAAGAAACUUUUCUGAAUAAAAAAACAAAACAACUUCAAGACCUCACAGAAGAGAAAGGAACCCUGGCUGGAGAGAUUCGAGAUAUGAAAGACAUGUUGGAAGUAAAAGAAAGGAAGAUUAAUGUCCUUCAAAAAAAGAUUGAAAAUCUACAGGAGCAACUUAGGGACAAAGACAAGCAACUAACGAAUCUAAAAGACAGAGUGAAGUCAUUGCAGACGGAUUCUAGUAACACAGACACAGCACUAGCAACCUUAGAGGAAGCUCUAUCAGAAAAGGAAAGAAUAAUAGAGCGCUUGAAGGAACAAAGGGACCGAGAUGACAGAGAAAGACUUGAAGAAAUCGAAUCAUAUAAAAAAGAAAACAAAGACCUGAAGGAGAAGGUUAAUGCUUUACAAGCUGAACUGACAGAAAAAGAGUCUAGUUUAAUCGAUCUCAAAGAACAUGCAUCUUCAUUGGCAUCAGCAGGGCUGAAAAGAGACUCCAAACUUAAGUCUUUAGAAAUAGCCAUAGAACAAAAGAAAGAAGAGUGUAGUAAGUUGGAAGCACAGUUGAAAAAGCAAGCUGAACAGUUGUUCAAUCAGAUGUACAAUCCAAUGCCAAUUAGGAAUAAUGGGAAGCAAGGGGCUCAUGAGGCUGAAGAGGAGGCACGGAUGAAUCCAGAAUUUGCAGACAGAAUGAAACAGCUUGACAAAGAGGCAUCGUACUACAGAGAAGAAUGUGGCAAAGCUCAGGCUGAGGUUGACAGACUUCUAGAAAUACUCAAGGAAGUAGAGAAUGAGAAGAACGAUAAAGAUAAGAAAAUUGCUGAGUUAGAAAGCUUGACUUCCAGACAUAUGAAGGACCAAAACAAGAAGGUUGCCAAUCUGAAGCACAAUCAGCAACUGGAGAAAAAGAAGAAUGCACAGUUGUUGGAAGAAGUUCGUAGGCGGGAGGACAAUAUGACUGACAACUCUCAACAUUUACAAGUAGAAGAGCUGAUGAAUGCACUGGAAAAGACUAGACAAGAAUUAGAUUCUACCAAAGCCCGUCUUGCCUCAACACAGCAGUCUUUGGCUGAAAAAGAAGCACAUCUGGCUAACCUGAGGAUAGAGCGAAGAAAACAGCUUGAAGAAAUUCUAGAAAUGAAACAGGAAGCUUUGCUUGCUGCAAUUAGUGAAAAAGAUGCAAACAUUGCCUUGCUUGAACUGUCUGCUUCAAAGAAAAAGAAGACUCAAGAGGAAGUAAUGGCUCUUAAACGAGAGAAGGACAGAUUAGUACAUCAGUUAAAACAGCAGACACAAAACAGAAUGAAAUUGAUGGCAGAUAACUAUGAUGAUGACCAUCACCACUACCACCAUCAUCACCACCACCACCAUCACCGGUCUCCUGGGAGGCCACAACACUCCAACCACAGACCCUCUCCAGAUCAGGAUGACGAGGAGGGUAUAUGGGCAUAGCCGUUCCUAUAAACCAAAGUUCCAGUUUUGUUUUGAGGGAUGAUCCAGUCACUGUUGGAGGCACAUAGCCACGGCAAAAUCUCAUGCUGUACAUUGAUCACCUGUCCAACCUUUGCCUAGAGUGUGAUCCCCAGUUUCUUCAAGAGAUCCAUCUUUACCCAUCUAUAAAGAAGAGGAGGAGGAGGGAGACAUCUGGGAUAUUCAAGUAUCAAAGUUUAACACCAGAGCAGUUGUCAGAGGAACUAGUGAAAGAGGAAGAGAAAAAAUGUAGCGCUGGAAGGUAAUGAUGAUAAUCUAUUGCACUGGAUCUCCAAACAUGACCAUGAUAUCCUGGAGAAGAUCACAGAUGCAGAAAACGAAUGCUAAGGUUGAUACCUAAUUAAAUGCUGCAUUAAUUGGCAUUUUCUCCAUUAUUUCUUGUAGUCUACUAAAAAAUUAGAUACUUUGGAAAAUAAUGAAGGAGACUCAAGUAGAAAUUACAAGAGCUUCAUUUCUGUCUUUAAUGGAUCUUGCAAGUUAUUCUGUUUUCACUAAGAAACCAUCUGUUCAGAAUAUUAUUGUUUAAUGAAGUUCAGUUAAACAGGUUAUUUAACUAAUUCUUGGUAAAUUGAUAUUAAUUUUAACAAGUAAUUCAGAUUCUCUUAGAUGUGGUAUCUGCAUUUGCUGAUUUUUACCUAGUCUAUUCUAAUGUAUCACUUCUAUUGCACUAGAUUAUCAAAGAGGUAUUAGUAAAAUGUUAUAUAAGGGUGUUGGCAUUAAUCCUAUACCCAGUUAGGUGUGGGCUUUUCCAAAAAAUAAAACCAAGCCUUUACCCUCCUCUGUUUUCUUAUAUCUACUGAUAAAAAUAAUAAUAAUUAAAAAACAAAACAAAAACCAAAACACUUUGAUAGUAUAACCGGUAUUAAGCUCUGGGCCAGGUUGGAAAUGAAAUCAAUUUUUGGUACUAAUAACUGAUGAUAAAGAUUAGCUUUAUGAAAAUAUGGUGUGUGUCUCUGACAAUGCAUAGGACAUCUAAUUUGAGCAUAAAUAUAAGAUUAUAUACAAGAUGUUAUCUGUUCUUGGAUGGUAAAAGCUUGAGGCAUGUAUAAAUACGUAAGUAUGUAUAUAUAUGGACAUAUACACAAGGAUGUAUCAACCUUUUACCAUCCAAAUGCAUACAGGUUUUCAACAAUAAAAGCUGGGACUCUUUGAGAAAAAAAAAAUCAAGAAAAAAAACCACAAAAAACAAAACAAACAAAAAACCAACAAAAAUUAAGAUUGUUGUGAAUACAGUAUAUGCACUAGGUCUCCUGUAAAUGAGGAACUGUUUGUUAUUAUUUUCUACAUUGAAAAACUGUCUCCAACAUGGAUCCCAAUGAAUCUUAGAUGUUAAAGAAGAAAAUACCAAUGAACAAACAGCACUUGGCUGUUUGCAUCAACAAAAUAUAUCUAGUAAAAUAAAUUUAAAGCACAUACAAGGAAAAAUAAAAAUGUGAAGCUGUUACAUUCAGUGAGAGAAUAUAACUGAUAGUCAAAUCUCUACCACUUCUCAAGGAGAGGAUCCUUAGGACUCCAUGAACAUUUUCAGUCAGUCUGGCAAACAUGUGCAAAUGUUUGGCUGUUUUAUUGAGUCAUCUUUUUGUCCAUGGAAGAACUGCUUCCAUGCUGAUGGGAGCGGGAAUAGAAUAUCUGCAUUUUUAAAGGACAAACAAUAAAUUUAAGCAUGGGUGGCCUUAAUCCUUAGUAGUUUUUCUUUGCUGCUGUAAAAAAGAGAAAUCUAAAUGGAUACUCCUAAAGUCUUGCACUGAAUUUAGAAAAAUUAUUUUUUGAACCUGUGGUGCAAUUAACCCUAAACAUCCUACAUGAGCCAUACAUAGUAAUCCCUUUAAAAUUGUCUAGAGAUGAUAUUUUAUUUAUUUGUACCAUAAUUCUUGGUGCAAUCAAAGAGCAAUUUAUUCAAGCAGGAGUCCUGCUGGAUGCUACUGUCUUCAGUAAGUAGAGUAAAAUGUAUAGAAUUAGUAUAGCAUAGAUAAUCCCAAUUUCAUUCAUGUUUAAAACGUUUGUCCUUUAACUAUCAAUGGCAUUUUAGAUCUUUGUUUUUGAAACAGCAAAGCUUUUGGGAGUAUAUUUAGCACAUAUGACAAAUGUUGCACUUGGAAACAGACAACAAAACUAGUUUCUCAUGACAAAUUUGUUGUCGCAGUAGGGGACAAUCGUCUGUGUCUCUUACAAUCAGGUCUUUACCUUAACUCUGCAACUGAAUACUUGAAGUAGGAAAUAAACUAGGGGGAAAUAGGGUCACAGAUACAAAGCUGUAUAGUUAGAUAUUUAUAUGUAUGUGCCAAUUUUGUCACAGAUAUUAUGUUAGGGGCAUUUUUGCUCCACUCAUGUUGGUAAGAGUGUUGAUCUAAACUUUUAUCAGGGCCUACAAGUUAGCCCCUAAAGAGGAAAAUUUCAUCUAAAAUUGCUUUAUUCUUUCUUUCUUUUUUUUUUUUUCUUUUCAUUUCAUGUGAUACUCUAUGAUGUUUGGAGAAAAUCUUUUCAUAUACUAAAAUAGAAUCUCGGGGUUUACAAUAAACACUGUGAUGUUGGGAAAUGUUUUAUUUGAGCAACGUUUGGUAGGUUUUUUUCCCCCUCUAAGUGUAAAGAAGCAAACCAACUUUUGGUUAACAUUUAAGAUAAUGAUUAUUAUUUUAUUGUGAGAUCAGUCUUGUACUGCACAUUCUUUCUUUCAUUUAAAUGUACAGUAUGAAUUUUGUAUUUAAUGAAUUUUGUGUAUCCAGUAUGCACGUACCUGCACAUUGACUUUCAUUUGAAAGUGGGUUUCAAUUUACUUUUUAAACAGUGUUUAUGAAAAGACCUCAGAUGUGUUGACACAAACUAUAUCUGCAAUGUUUUUUUUGUGUGUGUAGGGUGACGUUUGAAUGUGAUGUUCUGCAGCAAUGGGUCAGUAUUCCCUAUUUACCUUAGAUCCUCAUUUGAUAGUGCUUCUUGUAAUAAUUUUUCCAAGUGAGUGGCAUGUUCUGGAUUGUGAUAUUGAUAUAUGGUUAAGGACAUUGAUAUGAAACUAAGGAAUUCCUAGAAAUUACCAGUGGGCAUGUAUUAGACAGUCAUUGUAAUUUAAUGUCUAGUAGAAGUGUAAAGUACCAAGGUAUUUAGAGUUCAUAACAUUGUUAUCAUGUGUAUGGGAAGUAUUUAGUGUUGAUCAGCUUGUUUAUAUUCAUCAAAUAAACUUUGUUUCUUUCUGAAA